GACGAACGCUGGCGGCGUGCCUAAUACAUGCAAGUCGAACGCAGUGGGGACGGGUGAGUAACACGUGGGUAACCUCCCAUCAGAGGGGAUAACACUUGGAAACAGGUGCUAAACCGAUACUGAUGGAUGAACCCGCGGUGCAUUAGCUAGUUGGUGAGGUAACGGCUAACCAAGGCCACGAUGCAUAGCCGACCGGAGAGGGGUAGCGGGCAAACUGUGACUGAGACACGGCCCAGACUCAUACGGGAGGCAGCAUUAGGGAAUCUUCGGCAAUGGACGAAAGUCUGACCGCGCAACGCGGCGUGAGUGAAGAAGGUUUUCGGAUCGUAAAACUAUUUUGUUAGAGAAGCGGUAUCUAACCAGAAAGCCACGGAUAACUACGUGCCAGCAGCCGCGGUAAUUC
rnacentral:rRNA from 1 species